CCUUGUGCUCCUAGUGGAGAUGUCAGUACUGAUGGCUCAGGCAGUUGCAGCAUCUGAUCAACUGCCCUGUGGUAAAACUGCAGGAGGAAGGAAUGUCAGGAGGUGGUCUUGGAUGUUACUGCUAAAGCUGUGGAGCUUCUCACAAAGGGAUGAUCUGUGUGUUAUCAGAUGUUAUCAGACCUUCCGGAGCGUCUAGGAAAUAGGGUAGAAGAAAAACUUGAGGGUUACUUUUUAACAGGGGGAGCCAAGAGGUACAGCUACACCAGUAAUGAAAAUAAGCAUGUUUCCUUGUAAGAUCAAACUGGGGCAUCUGCUUUCAGCUUUUGUUGCAGUAAAGCUACUGGAGUAGAUGAUGUGUCAACUCAACACAGUGUAUAUUGUUCUUAAAACAGUAUCUGAUAGUCAUACUGAGCUUGCUGUGCCUGUUACCGUAGCCCAAAUCAUACCUGUCUCUUAAAAACAGGAGGCCCAGUAAUGGAUGGUGACAGUUAUGGAGUAAGUAUAUAGUUGACUGAGAAAUACCUUUACUUCUGUGUGCUCUUCAAAUACUGUUUCAAAAACAGUGAAAAAUAAGAGGGAAGCAGAUGCAUUCUGUUUCAGCACGUGUUCAGUUUUUGUCUGGUGCUGUAGACAAAAACCUGGAACCUGGUGCUUAGAAAAACACCUUCUUUCGCAACCCACAGCUGAUGCAUGUAUUGGCUGUGUUACUUAUAUGAAGGGACAGUGCUUAUAUUUAUUCAAGCAGUAAUUAAUUCAAAGGGCACAUUUCCUAUUGCAUGUGCAGAAAUGUAGGAAGGAAACAAUGCAACUGGACUACAUCUUUUCUAGCUAUGCAGCAAUGAGCUAUUGUAACUGUUUUGAUCUGUUUGAAUUCUUCCAGCUGGUGCACAGAUCUGUUUCUUCCAUGCGCUCCUGUGGAACACUUUGGUUAAGGAGCAAGCCCACGUGACAGUGCAGACCAGAGGAGUGCCUUGGUGGCAGGUGAUGAGGAAAUGAGAGAAGAAAUGCAGAAAGCCACUUGACAGAGACAGGAGCUCCCUUAUAGGUACUGGCUCAUGCAUUUGAUAUAAAUGGAAAAAAAAAGAUUCAAAUGGAAAAGCUUGGUGCCUUGGGAUACACAACAGUCAGUUGGCUGUGGAAGAGGAAACAAAGUGUUGGACAGAGUCUGCUGCUGUCACUGAAUGUCAGGGGGUGAGAAGUUGUACCUGAGUGCUGCCACAGUAAGUCUGUAGGUAAGAUGCUUAGCAGCAGUGCUGGUACCCACAAGAAAUUCAAGGUCGCUUCAAAGAGGGUUUGCAUGGCUGGAGAACCAGCAGCUCUUAACGCAGUGACCGUACAUCGAACUCCUUUCAGCAGGAUGCUGUAGCCACUUUGUGUGUGCUGUGGUCUAUUUCAGAGGAGACAAUUCUUAAGUUAUAUUGCUGCUUGGAAUGAGAAACCACCUGUAGCUUCUGCCCUGUCACUUCUUGAAUUGCUAAUGCAGGCAGAAUGCUACUGAUUUCAUCUGCAAGCAGCUGACUUCAGCAGCACGUGGGGUUGGAAGAGAAUAUUCAUACAGUUGUGGCAUGAUGAGUUGUUCUUGUAUCUUUUAAUGCUUUUUUUUCUGCUUGGGUGUAUGGCAUGUUCUUGAAACUGCAUGGAAACAGAUAAUCCCAAGUAGGUGAGGAAGUGGACAGUAGUGUUGAAAUGGAAUAUUAUGGAUAGAGUGCAUAUAGGAAACUAAUCAGAGCUACCAUGCAAAAUGAUUUUGCCCCUAAAGAGUUUAGUAAGGGACGUAUAUAUGUGUGCCUGCCUUACUGCUGUUACAUUGGCACCAUGUUACAAAGUUAAGUUCCUUCAGCCUAUAGGAAGGGAGAAGGCAAAGUGCUUUUCUUUCUCUUGAGUUAUGGUGCUAACUAUUUUUUUUUUUCUCCCAGGUCCUGAUGUGAUGUUGCUGCAAGUCUCUUGCAAGAAAGAAAAGGACAGCUCUUAAAUGCUCUUAAACACUCCUAUUUCUUGUAAUAAUUGAGAAUGUUAAAUAUUUUAACUUCACUGCCCUGUAAGUUGAAUUAGUGGAUCAAGGUGUGGUUGUACAAGGAAAGGGUUAUCAACUAUGUUCCAACUGCUCAAGUGUGGAGAGGGGGCUGUUUACUUCAUACAGAAUGUAACAUUCAAAUAAAACUGAUGCCUGAAAGAAGCAGCUGCAGCCAGGGAAUUAUUUUGUACUGCUACACUGCAAGCCAACACAGGUGUAAAGCUAAAGCAGGGAUUUAGCUUUAGCUAAAUCUUAAAUGCUAAAGCCUCUAGAAAAACAGACAGUAAAGGUGAGAGAGCCUGCACACUGCAACUAGCCCUCUUCCUUCAGCUCUUUGUCCUGUACUGUUUGUUUAGGGGGAGUUGUAACAGUUUGGGUCUCUUCAGCAAUUGCAGUACCUCUAACUAAAGUGGGGACUGAAAUGUAUGUUUAAUUAUUCUAUGCU
rnacentral:lncRNA from 1 species